CCUUCGGUGUUCACAGACGGGCCAUUCACAUCGAGAAUGUCCAAGCCGUAGUAAAAUACCAGCCGCCGCUGUGAAUCCAACAAACGAGGACUCGGGCUUUUUACAACAAAUUCAAGCCAUGCAGGAGGAAGCCCCAGAAGUUUUAUAAAUGAAAAUUUGGUUCCUCCAUGCCUCUUGAAACAACCGGAAAAUUCAGGAUAUUGCGGUUUAGGUAACAGUGCGCUACUAUCGCUUGGACAAACUGAUUGUCGAAUUAAACAUCAAAAUAAUGAAAAAAUACAUGAGUUUAUUAUCUUACCGAAAAA